rnacentral:rRNA from 1 species
AUUGAACGCUGGCGGCAGGCCUAACACAUGCAAGUCGAGCGGCAGCGGGAAAGUAGCUUGCUACUUUUGCCGGCGAGCGGCGGACGGGUGAGUAAUGCCUGGGAAAUUGCCCAGUCGAGGGGGGAUAACAGUUGGAAACGACUGCUAAUACCGCAUACGCCCUACGGGGGAAAGCAGGGGACCUUCGGGCCUUGCGCGAUUGGAUAUGCCCAGGUGGGAUUAGCUUGUUGGUGAGGUAAUGGCUCACCAAGGCGACGAUCCCUAGCUGGUCUGAGAGGAUGAUCAGCCACACUGGAACUGAGACACGGUCCAGACUCCUACGGGAGGCAGCAGUGGGGAAUAUUGCACAAUGGGGGAAACCCUGAUGCAGCCAUGCCGCGUGUGUGAAGAAGGCCUUCGGGUGUAAAGCUCGUUCGGACCGGGAAAAAUCGCAUCAGUUAAUACCUGGUGUGGAUGAGUGGUACCGGAAGUAAGAAGCACCGGCUAACCUACGUG